AACCGCACGCGAUAAUAGUAUUAUCCCAUGCGGUUGUCCUAAGCGGACCGCACGGGAUAAUCGAUUAUCCCGUGCGGCC
rnacentral:pre_miRNA from 14 species